UUAAUGCGUAUGUUUCUGUUGCAGGUUUCAUCCUUCUUGCAUGGGUAUGACCAUUGAAGAAGCAAAGAAAUUAGAGCAUUUCUUGUGUUCUGAAUGUUCAUCUGAAGAUGAUGCCAAACGGUCUUUGAACUCAUUCCCUGUAUCACCAACUGUCGAGGGCAAGGUGGAGCCGAAGCGCAGAAAGAGAUGACAGAGAGAUCUUAAUGCAUUAUGGGGUACCCAAUUUCUUUCAUAUUAGCCCCCGUCUUGCUGUUGUGAUGUGGAACUGUACAGUACCAAGAAAAUACUGUGAUUGCCAAAUAUUCAGCGGCUUUUCUCAGUUGACAGAUAAUUUUGUUAUCUAUCGAUAUAUGUAUGCCUAGACUAUGAGAUGAUUGCUCGUCUUUGUUGUCUGCAGAAUGCACCACUUAGAGAUCCAAUUCCCUAAAUAUGAACAUUGUGUGUUAACUAUGCACACAAGUUGUUAAACCUAUAGACCUAAAUUUAAAAAAGAAAAAAAGAAUUAACAUAUUUUGAUGUAUCAUAAAUUCUUUAAGAUCUUUGAUUUAAUUGUCAGUUUUUUCUUGAACUCUCUCGGUUUCUAUUGAGAAGCGAAGAGGUGCAAGGACAGGUGAGAUGAAACUGGAUUUGUUACCUAAGGGCCUCAUGAGUUAAAUGGAGAAUCAGAUCUAAGAUGAAUUUUCAUCUGAAAGACGAGUAUUGUAGUUUUACUAGAAAUGGAUUCUAGAGGUGGAGAUUCAUCUAUUGCUGGUUCCUUGGCGAUGGCGGGUGGAUGUUGCCAAUUUGAUCAAUCGAAAAACAAAUACUUUAGUUUUCUAGGCACAUGAUUCGCAGUUCAAGUUCCAGAGUAGGAACCAAUAUGCGGCUUUUCCUGUCCUUUGUUAAGUUAGCGAGCAAUGGUUUUGUUGACUUUCUUGGCUGAAGCCUUUUUUACCUUUCCAGAUCUUAUGUCGGAUUUUAUGGCCAGGUUGGUCUUCAUCUACGAAGUGUCAAGUUUUCUCGUGUAUAUAUUUAACUGUAAUCUACUUCGAAAGAAAGAAUGAGUCUACUUGUAACGACCUUAUUUUAUUCAUUUUUACAAUC